rnacentral:ncRNA from 1 species
UUUAUUGAGAGUUUGAUCCUGGCUCCGGAUGAACGCUGGCGGCAUGCCUAAGACAUGCAAGUCGAACGCGAAGGCCCACUGACUUCUGUUGAAAACUAGAGAGCUUGCUCAAAGGUUGGAAACAGUUCGAUGUGGAUUUUCCUUCGAGUGGCAAACGGGUGAGUAACACGUGGGUUACCUGCCUCUUAGUUGGGGAUAACGGUUGGAAACGAUCGAUAAUACCGAAUGUACUCUACGGAGUAAAGAAGCCCUUAAAGCUUCGCUAAGAGAUGGGCCUGCGGCGUAUUAGCUAGUUGGUGGGGUAAUGGCCUACCAAGGCAACGAUACGUAGCCGAACUGAGAGGUUAAUCGGCCACACUGGGACUGAGACA